rnacentral:ncRNA from 13 species
UGACAGUGGUGAUGAUGAUGACAUUUGUCUCUAUCCUGAAAGCUAAUGUGUAGGUUUUCAGUCACUACCUCAUCUGAACUGUCU